rnacentral:rRNA from 1 species
CGGACGGGUGAGUAACGCGUGGGUAACCUGCCUUGUACAGGGGGAUAACAGUUAGAAAUGGCUGCUAAUACCGCAUAAGACCACAGUACUGCAUGGUACAGUGGUAAAAACUCCGGUGGUAUGAGAUGGACCCGCGUCUGAUUAGGUAGUUGGUGAGGUAACGGCCCACCAAGCCGACGAUCAGUAGCCGACCUGAGAGGGUGACCGGCCACAUUGGGACUGAGACACGGCCCAG